rnacentral:rRNA from 1 species
GACGAGGGAUCCUAGCGUUGUUCGGAAUCAUUGGGCGUAAAGAGCUCGUAGGCGGCCUGUCGCGUCUGCUGUGAAAUCCCGGGGCUUAACCCCGGGCCUGCAGCCGAUACGGGCAGACUAGAAUUCGGUAGGGGAGACUGGAAUUCCUGGUGUAGCGGUGAAAUGCGCAGAUAUCAGGAGGAACACCGGUGGCGAAGGCGGGUCUCUGGGCCGAUAUUGACGCUGAGGAGCGAAAGCGUGGGGAGCGAACAGG